rnacentral:rRNA from 1 species
GGACGCAUCACUGGUGUUCGGGUUGUCAUGCCAAUGGCACUGCCCGGUAGCUAAAUGCGGAAGAGAUAAGUGCUGAAAGCAUCUAAGCACGAAACUUGCCCCGAGAUGAGUUCUCCCUGAGACUUUAAGUCUCCUGAAGGAACGUUAAAGACGAUGACGUUGAUAGGCCGGGUGUGUAAGCGCAGCGAUGCGUUGAGCUAACCGGUACUAAUGAACCGUGAGGCUUAACCUU